UAACAUCAACUUAAUAUGGUGAUAUGCACGAAACAACUAAUCAUUACAAACAAUAUAUAUUUUUCCAAUAAUAUUUAUCGUACGGAUUUGAUCUCGAUCGGAUGAUGUGGGACUAUGAGUGAUUAUGGCGAAUAUUUUGUGUGCUACCAAAAUCUGCAAUUUGAACAUGUUGAUUAGUUUGUCCAAAAAAAAAAAAAGAACAUGUUGAUACGUUUCAGGCUUUUGAAGCGAACCUUUGGAUUCGGACUUUGGAAAGCAAAACUUUGGGUCUGGACGUAGAUAAUUCAAAAGAGGCUUAUAUGGAUACAUUAAGGCCCGUGC
rnacentral:lncRNA from 1 species